rnacentral:rRNA from 1 species
CCUACGGGUGGCAGCAGUGAGGAAUAUUGGUCAAUGGGCGGAAGCCUGAACCAGCCAAGUAGCGUGCAGGAUGACGGCCCUACGGGUUGUAAACUGCUUUUAUACGGGAAUAACGCGCCGUACGUGUAGGGCUUUGCAUGUACCGUAUGAAUAAGGACCGGCUAAUUCCGGGCCAGCAGCCGCGGUAAUACGGAAGGUCCGGGCGUUAUCCGGAUUUAUUGGGGUUCAAGGGAGCGUAGGUCGCAUGGCAAGCGUGCUGGGAAAUGUCCGGGCUCAACCCGGGCCUUGCAGCGCGAACUGGCGUGCUUGCGUCCGCGGCCAGCAGGCGGCCUUCGUCGU